UACGGAGGGUGCGAGCGUUGUCCGUAAUCAUUGGGCGUAAAGGGCGCGUAGGUGGCCCGGUCAGUCCGUGGUGAAAGCGCGGGGCUCAACCCCGCGUCGGCCAUGGAUACUGCUGGGCUGGAGCACUGUAGAGGCAGGCGGAAUUCCGGGUGUAGCGGUGGAAUGCGUAGAGAUCCGGAAGAACACCGGUGGCGAAGGCGGCCUGCUGGGCAGUUGCUGACACUGAGGCGCGACAGCGUGGGGAGCAAACAGG
rnacentral:rRNA from 1 species